UCAGUAAUGGCGAAUGAACAGGGAUGAGCUCAGCAUUGAAAUCUGGGCCCUCGGCCCUGAAUUGUAAUCUCGAGAUGUGCAACCAACGGAGGCGCAGAUGUAAGCCUCUUGGAAAAGAGCACCAGCGAGGGUGAGAGUCCCGUUCGUCAUUUGCAGUCCCCCGUGUACGGUGUACUUUCUAAGAGUCACGUUCCUCGGGCUUGGAGCGCCAAAGGUGGUAAAUUUCAUCUAAAGCUAAAUAUAGGUUUGAGACCGAUAGCAAACAAGUACCAUGAGGGAAAGAUGAAAAGGACUUUGGAAAGAGAGUUAAAAGUGCCUGAAAUUGCUGAAAGGGAAGCGAAUGGAACCAGUGUUUCUUGGCGAGAUUGUUACACGCUAAAUUGAUGGUCGGUUGCUUCAACGCAAGUGCUGCAGCUGGCUCUGAAAUGGACGUGUGUGGUGCUUCUUGCCUUGCCUGUCAACGUCAAUUUGGAGUUGAGGAAAACUCAAGGGACAUGGUAGUUUGCCCAUGGGUGACCGAACGUGCCUUGCAGAACUCAUCUUUGGAUUGAAGACCUCGUGUCCGGUUGCAACGCCCCCCUCUCGGGCUCUCAGCCUUGGGAAACUCAGCUCGGCAGCGGCCCUCCUUAUGGGGGAGCGUUCCUUGACGCGAAGAUGGUGACAAAAUGGUUUCACUCGACCCGUCUUGAAACACGGACCAAGGAGUCUAACAUAUGUGCGAGUUCCCGGGUGGCCAAACCUGCUGGCGUAAUGAAAGUGACUGCUGGGAUUUUUGCACCAGCAACCGACCGAUCAACUGUGUGAGGUUUGAGUGUGAGCACAUCUGUUAGGACCCGAAAGAUGGUGAACUAUGCCUGAGAAGGGUGAAGUCAGGGGAAACUCUGAUGGAGGCUCAUAGCGAUACUGACGUGCAAAUCGUUCGUCAUACUUGGGUAUA
rnacentral:rRNA from 1 species